rnacentral:rRNA from 1 species
GUAACUAAGGAAUAAGCAUCGGCUAAUUCCGUGCCAGCAGCCGCGGUAAUACGGAAGAUGCAAGCGUUAUUNCGGAAUUAUUGGGCGUAAAGCGUCUGUAGGUGGCUUUUUAAGUCUACUGUUAAAUAUCAAGGCUUAACCUUNGAAAAAGCGGUAUGAAACUAAAAAGCUUGAGUUUAGUAGAGGUAAAGGGAAUUCUCGGUGUAGUGGUGAAAUGCGUAGAUAUCGGGAAGAACACCUGUAGCGAAAGCGCUUUACUGGGCUAAAACUGACACUGAGNAGACGAAAGCUAGGGGAGCGAAUAGGAUUAGAUACCCUAGUAGUCCUAGCUGUAAACGAUGGAUAC